rnacentral:rRNA from 1 species
UACGGAGGGUGCGAGCGUUGUCCGGAAUCAUUGGGCGUAAAGGGCGCGUAGGUGGCCCGCUCAGCGUGCGGUGAAAGCGCCUGGCUUAACCGGGCGAGGUCGGCGGAAACUGUUCGACUCGAGGACGGUAGAGGGGGGUGGAAUUCCCGGUGUAGUGGUGAAAUGCGUAGAGAUCGGGAGGAACACCUGUGGCGAAGGCGGCCCCCUGGGCCGGCCCUGACACUGAGACGCGAAGGCGUGGGGAGCGAACGGG